UACAGAGGUCUCAAGCGUUGUUCGGAUUCAUUGGGCGUAAAGGGUGCGUAGGUGGCGCUGUAAGUCAGGUGUGAAAUUUCGGAGCUUAACUCCGAAACUGCAUUUGAUACUGCGGUGCUUGAGGACUGGAGAGGAGACUGGAAUUUACGGUGUAGCAGUGAAAUGCGUAGAGAUCGUAAGGAAGACCAGUGGCGAAGGCGGGUCUCGUGGACAGUUCCUGACACUGAGGCACGAAGGCCAGGGGAGCAAACGGG
rnacentral:rRNA from 1 species